UACGGAAGGCAGCAGUGGGGAAUAUUGCACAAUGGGCGAAAGCCUGAUGCAGCUAUGCCGCGUGUAUGAAGAAGGCCUUAGGGUUGUAAAGUACUUUCAUCGGGGAGGAAAAAACAAAACUAAUAAUUUUAUUUCUUGACGUUACCCGAAAAAGAAGCACCGGCUAACUCCGUGCCAGCAGCCGCGGUAAUACGGAGGGUGCUAGCGUUAAUCAGAAUUACUGGGCGUAAAGAGCACGUAGGUGGUUUUUUUAAGUCAGAUGUGAAAUCCCUGGGCUUAACCUGGAACUGCAUUUUGAAACUGAAAUACUAGAGUAUCGUAGAGGGAGGUAGAAUUCUAGGUGUAGCGGUGAAAUGCGUAGAUAUCUGGAGGAAUACCUGUGGCGAAAGCGGCCUCCUAAACGAAUACUGACACUGAGGUGCGAAAGCGUGGGGAGCAAACAGGGAUUAGGAUACCCGU
rnacentral:rRNA from 1 species